rnacentral:lncRNA from 1 species
UUUAUUGCUCACGGGAGGCUGAGGGACAACGAAAUUACUAUCAAUUGCUCUAAUAUCAGUGGCGGUAUAUAUUGAUUCCCAAAUUCGAUUAGUAAGCAGUGAUAUCAAGCAGCAGUAAUGAGUCGCGAAACUACUAUAAUUUCGGUGACUGACGAUAAAGGAGAGAUCAAGAAAGAAUAAUUUGGCAUGACUUAGUCAGAUAUAGAGAAAGUAAAGAAAGAUCAAGGAGGAAGAAGUGUGACGGCGUGGCUCAGUGAGAGAUUGAGAAGAGAGAGAUUGAGGCAAAAGGAGGGUGGCUGGCAUGGUGGUUUAGUGAGAGUUGAGAGAUCAAGGAGAAAGGAGUAUGGUGUGUGUGAUGU